CCUACGGGGGGCAGCAGUGGGGAAUAUUGCGCAAUGGGGGAAACCCUGACGCAGCGACGCCGUGUGAGGGAAGAAGGCUUUCGGGUCGUAACCCUCUGUCGGGAGGGAAGAACCUUCCAGGUCUGAACAAGGCCUGGAACUGACGGUACCUCCAAAGGAAGCACCGGCUAACUCCGUGCCAGCAGCCGCGGUAAUACGGAGGGUGCAAGCGUUAAUCGGAAUCACUGGGCGUAAAGCGCGCGUAGGCCGCCUUCUAAGUCGGACGUGAAAGCCCUCGGCUCAACCGAGGAACUGCGUUCGAAACUGGGAGGCUUGAGUCCUGGAGAGGGUGGCGGAAUUCCGGGUGUAGGAGUGAAAUCCGUAGAUAUCCGGAGGAACACCGGUGGCGAAGGCGGCCACCUGGACAGGUACUGACGCUGAGGCGCGAAAGCGUGGGGAGCAAACAGGAUUAGAUACCCUAGUAGUC
rnacentral:rRNA from 1 species